rnacentral:rRNA from 1 species
UGAGGAAUAUUGGUCAAUGGACGCAAGUCUGAACCAGCCAAGUAGCGUGCAGGAUGACGGCCCUAUGGGUUGUAAACUGCUUUUAUAUGGGGAUAAAGUGGGGAACGUGUUCCCUUUUGCAGGUACCAUAUGAAUAAGGACCGGCUAAUUCCGUGCCAGCAGCCGCGGUAAUACGGAAGGUCCAGGCGUUAUCCGGAUUUAUUGGGUUUAAAGGGAGCGUAGGCCGUUUGGUAAGCGUGUUGUGAAAUGUAGGAGCUCAACUUCUAGAUUGCAGCGCGAACUGUCAGACUUGAGUGCGCACAACGUAGGCGGAAUUCAUGGUGUAGCGGUGAAAUGCUUAGAUAUCAUGAAGAACUCCGAUUGCGAAGGCAGCUUACGGGAGCGCAACUGACGCUGAAGCUCGAAGGUGCGGGUAUCGAACAGG